GGCAAUUUCACAUAUUCAUUGGAAUAAAACAAUUAUUAGUGCAAAAACAAUUUACAUUUCAGAUUUCACAAACAAAAUAUAACAACUGUAAACAAAAGCAAUUAUUUGUGCCUCAAAGGUAAUUCCACCUUGACUAAUGAAAAAUUGUCUGUUGCAGACGGUGGAGUUGGCCUCCGCGUGUUAUCUCCAACGUUUUCCGGCAAUUCGAUUUCUUUUUGCCAUUCUGCUUUUUAUUUCUGUAAAUGUUUUGUCUUUUUACCAAGGGAGCGUCAGCCAUGUUUUUUGAAACUCGCGGUAUCUUAGCAACACUGACAGCGCUAUUCAAUGGUUAAUAGAAAGAGCAUUCUAGUAACAGCAACACUGACACAGAGCUUGUCAUUGAUUCCGGACAGAGAGAGAUGGCAGCAGCAGUCAGAGCUGCACGGAUCUGUCAAUCAGAUAUUUAUUUUCAAAAUAUGGAACAAAAUGUGUCCCUUAUCAAUAAGGGACACGUCUUUAAAUUUCUAAAUAUGGGACGAUUAUGUAUUUUAAGGGACUGUUGGCAACGCUUCGUUGACAGUGAACCAAACAGUAAAGGGGCAGGCCAUAAAGCCAAAACAAUGAGCUAAAAGAAGCUAAAACGCUCUGUAUAACUGGGGAACUGUAGCGUUGCUGAUAAUUAGCUGUGGGUUUAUCAUUUAUCGUUUUGUUUCAUAUAAGUAUACUGUUUAGUGAGGUCUACAGGUUACCUUGAAGUUGAUAUGGAUAUGAUCCUUCCUGCAUGCAUUUGCAGACACAUGCAAUGCAACACGACUAACUACAGUCUCCAAAAAUCAACUGAACCCAAAUAAUAGAAGCAAAGGAAGGAUUUACUGCAAGGCUGUUGCACUGGAUUAAAUUAGACGGUAGAGGUGUACUUAAUAAACUGAUAUGUCAGAGCAUGCAUGUACUACUUAGCUGAUUAGGAGUCUUUCCAAGCAUACUGGGUGUAUAUUUGCUUAGAAAGGUCUUUAAUCAGCUUGAGCCAUCCUCCAUGCCGCUGUUGAACUGUAAAUGAACCCAAACUAUUGGCCGUGGAACAAAAUCAAAAAAAGCAUACAGUUUUCAUUGCAGCUGGUAGCGUUAAGGGGCUUUUUAAUCAUCGUGCUGUCUCAAUUUUCCAUAUCGUUAGCCAUUCAUUCAGUUGUCUCUCCCAUUAGCUGCAGUUACCGUAAGAUCCUGCUGCGGCCUAAUAUCACCAGUAUUCAGUGUUUCUCGCCGUCUUCAUGUGGAAGGUCAGGGUCUUUAAAAUAGUGCUGUAAUGCUUGAUCCUCUCCAGAGACAUUUCUGUUCUGUAACUCACUGUGGGAAACGAGUAUUUUCAGAUGCACUAACUCAGCCAGUGUUAUGACGAGGCUGUCUCUCUGGGGGAGGUAUAUGGCGGUGCUCAUAAAGGAAGCUCUAGGGUUUAUGAGGACAGGGAUUUUGUUUGGUUCUGAUGGAGGUGAGCUGCAGCACAAAAUGCUGCAAUUUAUGCUGAUGUUGAGAUGGAAACAUCCGGUGUAUGCAUUGAUCUGCUUGGAACGCUGACAGACAUGGCAAUGCGCACUUCCUCCCUUUCAUUCUCUCCUGUGAUUCAACACUUCUUUCCUUGACUUUUCUUUUAUCCAUUCUAUUGUCACAUUUUCCCACCUUCCUUCUUUUCCAUCGCUUCCUUCCUUUUCAUGAAGUAUUUCUUCCUGCUAUGCACGAUUAACUUCCUCCUCCUGUCAUUUUUUGUUAUUCUCAUGCAGACAGCGUGGUAUUUGAAAGCUCCACUGCAUAGUAAUACACUCUUGUUUUUCUACAAAAAAGAAGUUCAACAAGUUCCCAGAUAGUGGUCUGAGAGGAGAAUCAAGCAUUCAAAUUACACAAAUUAUCUUUUUUUUCUCACCUAAUCUCUGUGAUUUCUUUUAACUUGUCUAAUGUCCGAUUAAUUAUGGGGAUGUCAAAAUACAUAAUCUUCAAUAAUGUAAUGAUGUCCUGUACAGUAUAUGUAAUCCCAUGCUUUACCGUCUAUUCUGGAUCUAGUUCCAGUUAAGUGUGAGUAAUGUGUUUCUAGCAGGCAGGCAGGCAGACAGGCAGACAGACAGACCACAGUACUUUUUGCUCUUGUUCUUCUCUCUCUUGGAAAGCCACUUAUGGUAAUAGGAAGUCUUAAUCCUGUAGCAGUAGAAGACCAGCAGCACUGCAGGCAGGACCACUAGGAAGGCAAACAGCAGCCCCACCACCAGCCCCACCUGACCUGUGGAGACAACACACACACACACAACACAUGUACACUAGUAUGUCCGAUAGGAGUCAUAUCCUUUUCCCACAAUCCUCCAGGAAGUCCCACCAAAGUGUGAAUUCUGCGCAUGGACCCAGCUUUCAGCUACUAUUGGUCAGUGUGACCUAUGACCCGUGACGUCACAACACCAACAAGACCUCAGCCCAACUUCUGUUUCUCUGGACUCUCCACAGCAGCUGUCUCCCAGUGCGUCCUGCUCAGAUUGGACACACAGAACCGAACUUUCUAUCUUACAGCAGCGAUACAAGUGCCUGCCUAAGACCCCUGCAAACCAGCUCAGUUAGCCAGGGGCCCCAUACACAAAGUUUUCCUGAUAGCUUCACAUGCCAAUAGAAGCAACAAAGUAGCUUUUCACCUAGCGGUUUAACUCUGAGGAGAACAGACAGAGUGACUGGGUCCUCCAUCAGCGCACUUGGAAAACACACACAGCAAAAGACUGCAACUGAACUGAACCCUGCCUGGCUAACCCACAACAGAACCACAAGCUAACAACUAGCACACCAAAGCAACAUCUCUUCUUCCACAGACAGUUACACCAAGAGGAGCAAACAACAAAAAGACAAACAGCAUAAAGCAACGGAAGAGAGGAGGAGAAGGGGAUUAAAG